UACGUAGGGUGCAAGCGUUAAUCGGAAUUACUGGGCGUAAAGCGUGCGCAGGCGGUUUUGUAAGGCGGGUGUGAAAGCCCCGGGCUCAACCUGGGAAUUGCGAUGGAGACUGCAAGGCUUGAAUCUGGCAGAGGGGGGUAGAAUUCCACGUGUAGCAGUGAAAUGCGUAGAGAUGUGGAGGAACACCGAUGGCGAAGGCAGCCCCCUGGGUCAAGAUUGACGCUCAUGCACGAAAGCGUGGGGAGCAAACAGG
rnacentral:rRNA from 1 species